AGCCCCGCGAGGAAGGAUGACUCAUUGGGGCUGGAACACGUUUCGGGGAGAGGGAGCAGGGGGUGCAGGGGGACGGCAGCCCCCCAGUGGGCACAGCCCCCGCCGGGACCCCCGCUGUCCCCUCAGUGCCACCUCCAGGCGGGACACCCGAGGGGAGCCCUCCCGGAGGUCAUUUCCCGGGGGCUGUUGGGGGGAAAUGCCCCUUCCUCGCCCUUUUGCUCCGUGCCCAAAAGUGCCACCGGCGCCUUGGGGCCGCGGCGAGCCACAAAGGGCAACCUCGUGGCUCUUCUCCCCGCGGCACCUCCAGCUCCUGCCGAGCACCACGGGGGCUCUGCGCCCCCCUGCGCCUCCCCCUGCCCUCGCCUCCCCCCGAAACGCCGCCGAGGAGGGUCCCCGGGGAGCCCCCCGGCAGCCGGGGCCCACGCGCUCCUUUUCACCUCGCCGCUUCGCCUGGGCGGCUCGGCUCGUCACGAGCUGUUUCCUCUCCCCUCCGCAGACGGGGAGGCCACGCGGCAGCUGACCCAUCCAACCCAGCUGCAAAAAUCGGUCCUGACUCCGAGUCUCUUGCUGUUAGCUCACGCUGCCUCCCGACGCGCGCUGCGGGCGCUGUUCCAGCCCUCAGCCGGGUGCUCGGGGUGCUCGGGGCUGUGCGCCCCCCGUUCCCGGCAGGCCGAGGUGCCCCAAUUCACCCGGGCACAGCCCCAAGGCCAGAACCCCUCGUCUCACCCCAUUUUUCCCCCAUUUUUCCCCAAACUUGGCAGUUUUGCAAGCAGAGCUCUGCGGCGCACUCGAAGCCUCGGAGCUGGGUGUGAAAGCUCCGUGCUGGCUUUUUCCAUGGGCUGCCCCUGCAGAUUGGGGGGAAAAGGGAAAAAAAUGGUGGUUUUGGGGCUGUCCCGCUGCCAGCUCAGCGGGGUGCUGUGGGUGACAGCGGGCUCGUGCCAAGCGCUGCCUCGGGUGUCCCCGGCGGCGGCGAGAAGCAAUUUGCACCCUCGGCUGAGCACAGCCCCAGCCAGACACCAUGGAGCUGGGGGGGACACACACACCCCGUAA
rnacentral:lncRNA from 1 species